rnacentral:rRNA from 1 species
CAGCAGCCGCGGUAAUACAGAGGGUGCGAGCGUUAAUCGGAUUUACUGGGCGUAAAGCGUGCGUAGGCGGCUUUUUAAGUCGGAUGUGAAAUCCCUGAGCUUAACUUAGGAAUUGCAUUCGAUACUGGGAAGCUAGAGUAUGGGAGAGGAUGGUAGAAUUCCAGGUGUAGCGGUGAAAUGCGUAGAGAUCUGGAGGAAUACCGAUGGCGAAGGCAGCCAUCUGGCCUAAUACUGACGCUGAGGUACGAAAGCAUAGGGAGCAAACAGGAUUAGAUACCCGCGUAGUCCCUGUCUCUUAUAC